GAGGUUUUACUUUGUGGGUUAGAUAAAUUCUUUAUACCAGUUGAUGGUGCCCUUAAAACUCUCCCAUCUUUCAAUCUCAGCCGUAAUAACUCAAGAAUUACGGCUAAUCGACCAACGGUUUUCAGCUCCUCCCCGCAUUUCUCACAGUCGAUCGUUUCUCCUCCUAUGUUCAAUCGGUUUUCAGGUUCCUUCCAAGACAUGGUAGUUCUCCUUCAAUCAUCACGAUACGGAACCUUCUUAGUCGGUAACUGCCCAAACCACGACCUAGAAAUCGGGCUUAUAUAAAUAUAUAAUGAUCCGUCUAUGUUUAAUGGUUCUAUGUUUCAAUCAAUGUAUUGAAUUGCUUCAUUUGAUGUUAACAAUUAUGGAUUCAAGUUCAGCUAAAAAUAGUUCACCUAAGGUAAAUUUAUCGACUUCUACUUAAUUUUUCAAUGUUUCAAUGAGUUUCAUCAAUUGAUUCCUUUUGUGAACAAUUAUCGAUAUACAAUUUCGUCUCAAAUAGUCUUCAACUAAGGUAAAAUCUUUACAAUUAGUUAAUUUUAUGUUUUACAUUCGUAGUUUUUUACCAUCCGACUUCGAUUUGUACUUCAUUUCAUCUUCAAUUUCGUUGUAUAAUCGACUUUAAUGUUCAUUUAUGUUUGUAUAAUCGACAAUCUUAUUGCUUUGAUCUGUAUCGUACUCAAUUUCAGGUUUCUUAAAUUCUUAAUGUAUACCGAUUAAAUUGGUUUGUUUGGGCUCUUUGGCUUUCAAUAAGGUUAACCCUCCCUUUCUUUGUCCCGAUUCCAAUUUAUGUAAAUGUUUGGGCUAUCUAAGAUGAUUAUGCUAAUUUCUUUUUUAUUACUUUAUUAUAAAUAAAUAAUUUAUUGCAUGAUACAGAGUGAUAAAUUUUUUUUGGAACUGCAGUUCCAAAUUUACUGCUUCAGCACAAUCCUUUAGCUAAUAAUCACCACCCUGUAAUGUAUAGUGAAGCAUUUGGUUUACAUUUUUGCAGGACCUGAUUAUUUAACAACUAGCAGAAGGAUAAUCUGCAAACCACAGGAAGAGGUUUGAUGUCUAAGAAUGAUGAUACUGAAGAUUUGAUGCUUGAACAUGAAUUAUAUUUAAUCACUCUACAAUCCCGUCUUAUAAAACUCCACAUACCUCAAAAUUGUCUCAAAAUUACAACUGUUCAAUAUUUUUCUUAUUCUUGUCAAUAUUUUCCAGUAAUCAAAUGAACCUAGCAUUUAAUUAUCUUUAUUCAACCUCCUGAAACUUUAUAUGUUUUGUUCGCUAAUAUCCAUUUUCAACAAUUUCAUUUCUUUAAGCAUUUAAAUUUAUAAAGUUGAAGUCCCAUAGAUUGGGCACAACUUUUUCCUAACCCGAUAUGUUGCUCCAAUUAGUACUUUGUGAUGUUUCAAAUGAAAAUUUUCAAUGAUGGGGACUUCAUGGAAAGUAAAAGAAAAUAAAAAAG
rnacentral:lncRNA from 1 species